rnacentral:rRNA from 1 species
AACGAACGCUGGCGGCAUGCCUAACACAUGCAAGUCGAACGAGACCUUCGGGUCUAGUGGCGCACGGGUGCGUAACGCGUGGGAACCUGCCCUUAGGUUCGGAAUAACUCCCCGAAAGGGGUGCUAAUACCGGAUAAUGUCUUCGGACCAAAGAUUUAUCGCCUUUGGAUGGGCCCGCGUUGGAUUAGCUAGUUGGUAGGGUAAAAGCCUGCCAAGGCGGCGAUCCAUAGCUGGUCUGAGAGGAUGAUCAGCCACACUGGGACUGAGACACGGCCCAGACUCCUACGGGAGGCAGCAGUGGGGAAUAUUGGACAAUGGGCGAAAGCCUGAUCCAGCAAUGCCGCGUGAGUGAUGAAGGCCUUAGGGUUGUAAAGCUCUUUUACCCGGGAUGAUAAUGACAGUACCGGGAGAAUAAGCUCCGGCUAACUCCGUG